rnacentral:rRNA from 1 species
AACGCUGGCGGCGUGCCUAAUACAUGCAAGUCGAGCGAACGGACGAGAAGCUUGCUUCUCUGAUGUUAGCGGCGGACGGGUGAGUAACACGUGGAUAACCUACCUAUAAGACUGGGAUAACUUCGGGAAACCGGAGCUAAUACCGGAUAAUAUUUUGAACCGCAUGGUUCAAAAGUGAAAGACGGUCUUGCUGUCACUUAAAGAUGGAUCCGCGCUGCAUUAGCUAGUUGGUAAGGUAACGGCUUACCAAGGCAACGAUGCAUAGCCGACCUGAGAGGGUGAUCGGCCACACUGGAACUGAGACACGGUCCAGACUCCUACGGGAGGCAGCAGUAGGGAAUCUUCCGCAAUGGGCGAAAGCCUGACGGAGCAACGCCGCGUGAGUGAUGAAGGUCUUCGGAUCGUAAAACUCUGUUAUUAGGGAAGAACAUAUGUGUAAGUAACUGUGCACAUCUUGACGGUACCUAAUCAGAAAGCCACGGCUAACUACGUG